rnacentral:tRNA from 1 species
CCGGGCGUAGCGCAGAGGCAGGCGCACUCGCCUUGCCCAGGCGGAAGACAUCGGUUCGAAUCCGGUCCCCGGGC